rnacentral:rRNA from 1 species
AUGCACGAGCGCGCCCGGCCAGGGCGCGGGAGACGACCGUGCGCGUGCCGCGUGUCACCGAUGCCGCCCCCCGGCGAAGACCCCGACGCGGCGCCCUCGUGCAGCAGCUCCGACACUAGCGAGCCGCAGGACCAGCAGCGCUCGGAGCGGGCGCUCUCCAACGGAGAUCUCUACCUGGGCCAGUGGCGCGGGGGCGUGCCACACGGCGACGGCAAGUACCUGUGGGCGGAUGGCUGCAUGUACGAGGGCGAGUGGCGCCGCGGCAAGGCCACCGGACGCGGGAGGUUCUCUUGGCCGUCGGGAGCCACCUACGAGGGCGAGUUCUUGGACGGGUUCAUGCACGGCGCGGGAACCUACGUGGGCGCCGCGGGGGACAGCUACCGCGGCGCGUGGGCCAAGAACCUCGAGCACGGCGCCGGCGAGAAGCGAUACGCCAACGGCGACUGCUACGACGGCGAGUGGCGGGCGGGGCUUCCGGACGGGUGUGGCCGCUACACCUGGCGCGAUGGCACCGAGUACGCCGGCGGCUGGCGUGCGGGGCUCAUCCACGGCCGCGGCGCCCUGGUCUGGGCGAACGGCAACCGCUACGAUGGCGGCUGGGAGGGCGGCCGCCCGCGCGGACAGGGCACGUUCCGGUGGUCGGACGGCAGCCUGUACGUCGGGUUCUGGGGCCGGGAGGCCCCCGGCGGCGCCCUGCACCAGAAGGGCGUGUACUACCCAUCCCCGGGGGCGGCAGGCGAGACGAGGACGCGCGACCCGAGGGAGGUGUUCACGAGGGAGCUGCCGGAGUGUGUGCGCUCUGGUACGGAAAGCCAGUCGGCGCUACCGUCACUGAGGUCUCUAAAAUGGCUGGCGCGGUCGGUCAGGGGGCGCGUGAGCUCGUCGUCGGGCCGGAGCAAUCUUUCGGGUGGGAGUAAUUGGGGUUCCGAUGGAGACGUCAAGUGCGAGCUUGCUGACGACUGGAAGCGUCGUAACAGUACGAGGGAGGGUAGGGGGCUCCUGCCGCUCCCUUCGCCGGCGCCAGCGCCACAAGUAGCCAAGGGUGCACCGCUGCGGGUGUCGAAGCGGCAGGGGGAGACCAUUGCCAAGGGGCACAAGAACUACGAGCUCAUGCUCAACCUGCAGUUGGGCAUCAGGCAUGCAGUAGGAAGGCAAGGUCAGGUUAUACUAGAUCUGAAAUCAUCAGCAUUUGACCCAAAGGAAAAAGUAUGGACAAAAUUCCCCCCAGAAGGCUCGAAAUAUACCCCUCCACACAAUUCUAGUGAUUUCAAAUGGAAAGAUUACUGCCCAAAGGUGUUCCGGACAUUGCGCAAGCUGUUCAAGGUCGAUCCAGCUGACUAUAUGCUAUCUCUGUGUGGAGAUGAUGCUCUACGUGAGCUCUCAUCCCCUGGUAAGAGUGGAAGCUUCUUUUACUUGACAAACGACGAUCGAUACAUGAUAAAGACAAUGAAGAAAUCUGAAGUAAAGAUGCUUCUGAAGAUGCUUCAUGCUUAUUACAAUCAUGUCCGUGCAUUUGAGAAUACCCUAGUGGCAAAGUUUUUUGGUCUACACUGUGUGAAGUUGGCUGGAGCAAACCAGAAGAAGGUUCGUUUUGUCAUAAUGGGGAACCUGUUCUGCUCCGAUCACACUAUUCAUAGGCGGUUUGAUCUGAAAGGAUCAUCUCUUGGCCGGACAACUGACAAGCCACAGGCAGAGAUUGAUGAGUAUACAACUCUGAAAGAUCUUGAUCUUAAUUUUAUCUUUCGGUUGCAAAAACAAUGGUUUGAAGAGUUCCGAAGGCAAGUGGACAAAGACUGUGAGUUUCUGGAGCAGGAGAAGAUUAUGGAUUACAGUCUCUUGGUGGGCGUACAUUUUAGAGGUGCCAUUGACAUCGAUGGUGACAAACCUGCCACACCCCGCGUUUCAAGAUGGGACAGGAAUCACUUUCUUUCUGAUCCAAACAGGUGGUGUAAGAUUAAACUUGGGGCGAAUAUGCUGUCAAGAGCUGAACUGACAGUCCGAAAGAACGACAGUGAUGUUAUUGGAGAGCCAACUGGGGAAUACUGUGAUGUUAUAUUGUAUUUUGGAAUAAUAGACAUACUUCAAGACUACGAUAUAGGCAAAAAGAUUGAGCAUGCAUACAAAUCAUUCCAAUAUGACUCGACAUCCAUUUCAGCGGUAGAUCCAAGACAGUACUCCAGGCGCUUUAAAGAUUUCAUAUACAAAGCAUUCCAAGAAGACAGAGUAGACAGCUAA